CGUUCAGUGCAUUUCAUGCUCUGCCAGGUAGCAAUCUUGCUCUUCCACAGCGAGCCCUUCUCAAUGUUUUGUUAAUAUUGUCAGUCGCCAUUUCUUUCGCUGCUUUUAUUGCGUUUCGUCUAGGUCGUUUCUGCUGUUCUCAAUGUCGUCGGAAAAAGUUUCCUGUUGAAACAAAGAAGAAGAAUUAAACUUUUUCUUCUCCCUACCGGUUAUUAAUUCAAAAAAUAUAAUUUUUUGGCAGACUGCUAAAAUACCUACUACGCACGAAAGUGUUUUGAAACAGGUUCCUGGAACAACUAUAAAGUCUUUGAGUACAAAACCAGCGAAGUGGUAACAAGAAUUGUUUCAACUCAUAAUGCAAAUACCUGGAAACGCGAUUCUUACGCCAAUGGUGGAACACGAGAAGUAGUGGUCCUUCGAGGGAGUGAUUUGCGUCUACCUGAGUGCUAUUUACGUAAAAUUAACUUGAACAAAGCUGCUUCUCCGACUUUUCUACAGGAUUGCACUCAAUGACCUUUGACUAAAUUGGGGGCGUCUUGGUAGCAGUGAGUCUCGUUCAUGUCGUAAUGACUUUGCUCCAAACGCAACUAAUAAUCCGUCAUUCAGAUUUCGGAAGGGCUCCAUAGUAGAGUUCAAGAAGCAAGCACACUUCACUCUAUCCGAUUAAUUGCUGUCCUUUAUGCCAAAUGUACGAUAUGUUUACUAUACAUGAGUACAUCAUUAGAACGUCAA
rnacentral:lncRNA from 1 species